GUUAACUACUACAAACAGACAAAGAAAUAAGCUACUUGGAAAAAAGCAUAAGUUGAGGCCUGAAGCCCCGCCUCUUCCUUUGUUUGCUGGCACAUGGAAUGUGGCCAUUCACUCCAUGAACCAGAACAAUCCAAGACUCAGGGCCCCUUGGGUGUGUGGCUCUUCAAGUGGACUACAAGUGGCUCUACAAGACAUGGCGGCCUAGGGAAGCGUAGCUCCGCCCUCGUCACUCAAUGACGUCUUGAACGUGGCAGCGGGACUGCACAGACACAGCACAGCAGUAUUACAACUUAGGUAGAAUAGGAGGGAUGGACGUCACCUGGCCGUGAUCCAUGGCGGACGACAGGAAAGUUGCACACCACCGCAGCAGGUGCCCUCACAAUGCUAC